rnacentral:rRNA from 1 species
CUACGGGUUGCAGCAGUGAGGAAUAUUGCACAAUGGGGGGAACCCUGAUGCAGCAACGCCGCGUGGAGGAUGACGCAUUUCGGUGUGUAAACUCCUUUUAUAUGUCAAGAAAAUGACGGUAGCAUAUGAAUAAGCGCCGGCUAACUCCGUGCCAGCAGCCGCGGUAAUACGGAGGGCGCAAGCGUUACUCGGAAUCACUGGGCGUAAAGGACGCGUAGGCGGGUUGAAAAGUCAGGUGUGAAAGCCUACAGCUUAACUGUAGAACUGCACUUGAAACUCUCAAUCUAGAGUAUGGGAGGGGAAGAUGGAAUUAGUGGUGUAGGGGUAAAAUCCGUAGAUAUCACUAGGAAUACCUAAAGCGAAGGCGAUCUGCUGGAACAUUACUGACGCUAAGGCGUGAAAGCGUGGGGAGCAAACAGGAUUAGAUACCCCAGUAGUC